CAAUAGAAACUCCGAAAAAUGCUGUCGUAUUUACACAAUUCGUUCCUUCUCGACCCUCGUUGCUCCCCUUUGCUUCACUUGGCACUCUCUGGUGUAAGUGAAGGGGGAUUUCAGUAGCGGCUGGGGGAGCAAAGACAACGGAAAUGAGCAAAGGUCGUUUUGUGUGGCUCAUUGUAUAAUGUCUACGACUUCCUUCCAUCAGUUUUGGCUAAAAUGAAACGGAUCAUCUUUCAAAGUAGUCUUGAACCUUUCAAGUUCCAAGGUUCGAAUUCUCUGUAGCUUUGAAAUUGCUGUUUUCAUUUAAUAGCUGCGUUUUUGUGCUAGCAUUAAUAGUUUUGCGUCAAUGGGAGUGAUCAAUUUGGCUGUAAUCAACUUGAACUCGUUAAUGGUUGCCAGCUACGAUUUCUUGUUUGCACUCAUGUGUUUCUAAGGGUUUGGAUUGUAAGCAAAGGAGAGUAUUUUUACAUGGCAUUAUAUUUUUUGAAUGCAAUAUUGUUACCUUGGAAAAAAAGGGUUAGCUAUAAGAAAAUUUAUACUGGGUACUUGCCUAUCUGUAAAGAAUCAGUUGUUAUUUCUCAUUCUGCUAAACAUGAUUUUUAUUAGAACUAAAUAUUAGCAUUUCUUAUAAUUUUUUUUUUUUGGUUCAUUUGGAGUUUUAAAAACUGUUUCAUUUCAUGGAUAAUUCUUAUUGUGCUUUAGAAGUGAAAAGCAAUUUCAUAGGAAAAAUAUUAAACACCAAAUAGCAAAACGGUUGAGAAGAUAUUAAUCUUAUUCUAAUCAACCCCUACGUGGAGUAAAUCAUUUGUAAGAAAAGAAUUCAAUUUAAUCCACAAUUAUGCAUAAUUUCUAUUCCUUUUAAAAUGGUUUUUUAAAAAAAUUAAACAAAUCAAACUCUUCCAUUCCAACCAUGAGAAUUAACAAAAAGAAAUAAAUUGAAUAGAAUUCCUACAAAAUUCUUAUUUCAAACAAGUUGUUGAUCUUUUGAUAUCUUUGUCCAAGAAACCAAAUGGAGCAAAGUGCUUGAGAUUUUCUUCCUGUCUUAAUUUAUUUGAAACUCCAUGCUUGCUUUCCAUUGUAAGUGACCUUGGACCCUUUUAGUCAUGGGAAUAUGAGAGAAUGGAGCCUAAGGUGCAUAAAUCUCCACAUCAACAAAACAUGACUAUUUGCUAAUUAAAAAUAAAGAAAAUCAAAUGACCUGGAGAUGAUACUGCAAUAUAUGCAAUUAUUGCAUGUCAAUAUGACUUUUCUAAUGUGAUAAAUGUAUCAGUUAGAGAGAUGGAAUUCUGCAACUUUUCUUUUUUCUUUUUUCUUUUUCUUUUUGUGUUAGUUUGUUCGUAGCAUGUAUAAUUUAUUUUAUGGCAAUACUUUUGCCCUUCAGUUGUACUUAUGUAGCUUUAUGAAGUUUGACUAACUAGAACUGAUGAUCUAAAUAUAGAAUUCCUUGGUCCUCUUUCUCUACCUGUAUGCGUUGAUACCCUUUUUUCAAAUUUGAAUUUCCUUUAAAGGCAUGUUUUUAUUUCUUUUCUGUGAUUUUUCAAUCUGUUAUAGAGUGAACAAAGUUGCAACUGUGAAAAGGUGAGCCACAAAUGCAUGUAGGGACCUUCUGUAGGCAAUAAGGAAAAAGGCGUUAAUAGGGUUCUGUUAUUCCUUAUGAUUAUCAAAAGAUUUAAGUUUGGUAACGAAGCUGUAACUGAAUGCAAAUAAAGUUGAUUUUGACAUGGAAUAUUUCAAAAUCAAAUAGAUAGUUAAGCAGGAAAGCAAAUGAAUCUCUUCAUUUUUAUUCUUUCUCUGAAUUUGUUGCUGCAAAAGUUAUUCUGCAUCUAGAUGACUUGCCUUUGUGAGUGCCUAAGUUUGCGAUUUUUGUAGCUGAGUAAAAUAUGGCCAUCUACCUUCUCCAACAUACAAACCACUAUUUCUUUUGCUAUUGCAGGAAGAGUCACAUGAGUUACUUAUGACCACCACUGUUAGAUGGUCAUAUGCGUGUUUGUGUGACUUUUUCUGAUGUUUCAAAGAACUAAUUGUUCAUGUGGCUAUGAGACAUGAUGGGUUAAUGCUGGUUUCAAAAUCUAAUUAAAAAAAGAAACUGGCUUUAAUUUGCCAUUUUCUUAAUUUUGUAAGUGUAUUCUAGGAUGAAAUAUUUGUUUCAUGAAUACUUAGUUAUGUCAUUUAGCUUUCUCGACCACAGUCCAAAGAUACAAAACAUGUGGGAUUCACAUGAAAAUGUGUUUUUUGACCACCAUGGUACAUGGUUUAGGAAAGAAUUACUCAUUCAGAAAAAAUAAAGGGGAAAUGAUGUAAAGUUCUCAUCUUCCCACUGGAGAAGUGGAAGUGCAAAGGGAGAGAAAAUGACUGUGAUGACUUAGAACUCAUUUUCUAGUUGAAGUUUGUUUGCAGUCUCAUCUGUUUGAAGAUUUACGUUUAACGUAUUAUAUAAAUUUACCAUUAUCCACUCAUCCUAUAGUUGGGCAUGGCUACUCUUUAAAAAAUAGACCUUACGGCAUAUAUGACAGGGUGACCACUUCUGUGUCUCUUUCACAGGAUCCAUGAGUUGGAGAUGCAAACAUUAUGCAAAAAUUACUUGUGUCUCCCCAAAAGCUAGUGUAAUUAAUGCUUUUGGUCCAUUCUUGUUUAAUAGAUGUGCAUUUUACUUCUAUGCUUCUCCCCGAAAUUUUAGUCAAUAUUUUACUGUUGAAUUUUUACUGCUUUUUUGUCAUUAACUGCAAGGUUAAGUGUUUAACUAGAUUUUUGUCUUCUAAUGUUAAUUUUGAUUGUAUAUAGUCCCACAAAUCAAUUCUAUUGAAGAUUUCAAGAGCCUAAAAAUCUCAAAUUACACAGUACUAUUAUUUUGAGGACUUAUUUCAUAUUUUUUAAGCAAUAGAGAUUCAAGUGUUAAUUUACUAAAUUUCAUGGGGUUCUACUGAUUUCUUUUGUAAACAGGGAAUCUGUCUGACCAACUUUAUUGGAGCUGGGCAUCAUAUGUUGCUCUUAGUCUCCAUUUGUUUUCUGAACAUAUUUUCCAAAAAAAUAUUUCACAUUUUCUAACAUUUGGGAUACUCGGUAAAAUCGGUGAAUGGAAAAUAUUGUUCUGAUAAAAAAAAUCAAGUCAUUUUCCGGACUUUAAAAAUCUUAUUUCCAUUACAAUAUAUAAGUUUAUUAAUUUUCUUACUUUUUAAAUUACAACUAAAACAUAGCAAAUAAGUUGUUUUCUUAAAAAAUAUUUUUUAUGGAAAAUAUUUUCCAAAUACAAGGGAUUUGUGUAAUUUUCAGAAAUGUCAAGUCUAGCAGAUGCUUCGUCUAAAUUGCAAUUGAAGAAGGAAGGGAGAGAGAGAGAGGCGAGGAACAUUGGAUUUGUCCACACACCUCAACUUUAAAAUGCACAAACUAUUCAGACAUUGCAUUAGUAUAAGCUGCAACAAACCAACAAAAUACUAAUGAGCUUUAGCUCGGUGAUUUUGGACUGUUUUCCGAAGCCCAGUUGGAGCCUAAACAGCAGGAAAAAAAAUAAUAAAAAUAUUUAGAACUAAUAAUUAGCUCCCCAGAUACUGCAUUAACAAAUGAUGAUCACCUGGGCAAGCAUAUCAUGAUGGAAAUUGCACUUGUUUCAAAGGAAAGACGGAAUUUAGACAGAAGAAAGCCAUAUACCAGUGACAAAUGGUGGAAAAAACUACAGAAAGCUUUCUUCUUUUCUUAUUUUCCACAUAAGGAACGUUGCAUGAUUUAGAAGAACUCCACAUUAAGCUUGCCUCACAGGAAGAUUCCAUGGCCACUUCUGCGCAUGCAAUUCCAUCAACAGAAGGGACUUCCAACUUGUAGACUCCAUGCCUAUUCGUGGUUCUGUUUACUGAGAAUGAUACUUGUUCUCUGAUUUUCGGUGAAGUUGCUUUGAACUUGCAGUCUAUUUUAACUCCUGCACCUGAUUACACACCUGGUAAGAAGUAGCUGUGUCUGGAGAAGCUGUUGUUGGAGCAGAUGUCACAAUAAACAAAACCCAUUACAGUGAUAUGGGCAUUGUUUUUAGCUGGCUCAACCCUUGAAGACAGUGACUUGAUGAACAAAG